rnacentral:lncRNA from 1 species
CAAGAGAAAGCACAAGAAGGACAUCAGUGGAAACCCCAGAGCCCUUAGGAGGCUCAGGACAUCCUGUGAAAGGGCAAAGAGAACUCUCUCAUCAACUGCACAGACCACCAUUGAAAUUGACUCCUUGUAUGAGGGUAUUGACUUUUACUCCACCAUCACUCGAGCCAGAUUUGAGGAACUUAACAUGGAUUUAUUUAGAAAAUGUAUGGAACCAGUUGAGAAGUGUUUGAGGGAUGCCAAGAUGGACAAGAGCACUGUACACGAUGCUGUGCUUGUUGGUGGUUCUACUAGGAUUCCUAAGGUCCAGCAGCUUUUGCAGGACUUCUUUAAUGGAAAGGAACUUUGCAAGAGCAUCAACCCUGAUGAGGCUGUUGCUUAUGGUGCUGCGGUCCAAGCAGCUAUCCUGAGUGGUGAGGGUAAUGAGAAAGUUCAGGACCUUCUUUUGUUGGAUGUCACUCCUCUUUCCCUUGGUUUAGAAACUGCUGGUGGCGUCAUGACAGUGUUGAUUCCCAGGAACACUACCAUUCCCACCAAGAAGGAACAAGUAUUCUCUACCUACUCAGACAACCAGCCUGGUGUGUUGAUUCAGGUAUAUGAAGGAGAAAGAACAAGGACAAGGGAUAACAACUUGCUUGGUAAAUUCGAGCUCUCUGGCAUUCCCCCUGCUCCCAGGGGUGUUCCACAAAUUACAGUGUGCUUCGACAUUGAUGCAAAUGGUAUCUUGAAUGUGUCUGCUGAGGACAAGACCACUGGCCAGAAGAACAAGAUCACCAUUACCAAUGACAAGGGAAGACUCUCGAAGGAGGAGAUCGAGAAGAUGGUUCAAGAGGCAGAAAAGUACAAGUCUGAGGAUGAAGAACACAAAAAGAAGGUUGAGGCUAAGAAUGCAUUGGAAAAUUACUCGUACAAUAUGAGGAACACAGUGAAGGAUGAGAAGAUUGGUGCCAAGCUUUCUCCAGCUGACAAGAAGAAAAUAGAAGAUGCAAUUGAGG